UACGGAGGAUGCAAGCGUUAUCCGGAAUCACUGGGCGUAAAGCGUCUGUAGGUUGCUUAGUAAGUCUGCUGUUAAAGAUUGGGGCUCAACCCCAAAACAGCAGUGGAAACUGCUAAGCUAGAGUAUGGCAAGGGUAAAGGGAAUUCCCAGUGUAGCGGUGAAAUGCGUAGAUAUUGGGAAGAACACCAGAGGCGAAAGCGCUUUACUAGACCAUUGCUGACACUCAGAGACGAAAGCUAGGGGAGCGAAUGGG
rnacentral:rRNA from 1 species